GACGAACGCUGGCGGCGUGCUUAACACAUGCCAGUCGAACGGAAAGGCCCCUUUGGGGGUACUCGAGUGGCGAACGGGUGAGUAACGCGUGAGUAACCUGCCCUUGACUUCGGGAUAACUUCAGGAAACUGGGGCUAAUACCGGAUAGGAAUCCUUGCUGCAUGGUGGGGGUUGGAAAGCUUCGGCGGUUUUGGAUGGACUCGCGGCUUAUCAGCUUGUUGGUGGGGUAGUGGCUUACCAAGGCUUUGACGGGUAGCCGGCCUGAGAGGGCGACCGGCCACAUUGGGACUGAGAUACGGCCCAGACUCCUACGGGAGGCAGCAGUGGGGAAUAUUGCACAAUGGGCGGAAGCCUGAUGCAGCAACGCCGCGUGCGGGAUGACGGCCUUCGGGUUGUAAACCGCUUUCAGCAGGGGCGAAGCUUGUGGUGACGGUACCUGCAGAAGAAGCACCGGCUAACUACGUG
rnacentral:rRNA from 1 species